UACAGAGGGUGCGAGCGUUGUCCGGAAUCACUGGGCGUAAAGGGCGCGUAGGCGGCUCAGUAAGGUUGCGGUGAAAGCCCGGGGCUCAACCCCGGGUCGGCCGUGGCAACUGCUGGGCUGGAGCACUGUAGAGGCAGGUGGAAUUCCGGGUGUAGCGGUGGAAUGCGUAGAGAUCCGGAAGAACACCGGUGGCGAAGGCGGCCUGCUGGGCAGUAGCUGACGCUGAGGCGCGACAGCGUGGGGAGCAAACGGAUG
rnacentral:rRNA from 1 species